GCCCUUAGCUCAGUUGGAUAGAGCAACGGCCUUCUAAGCCGUAGGUCACACGUUCUUAUAAUAGGGGCG
rnacentral:tRNA from 1 species